GACGAACGCUGGCGGCGUGCUUAACACAUGCAAGUCGAACGGAAAGGCCUGCUUUCCCUUGUGGAUUGCGGGUACUCGAGUGGCGAACGGGUGAGUAACACGUGAGUGAUCUGCCCCCAACUUGGGUAUAAGCCUGGGAAACUGGGUCUAAUUCCCGAUAGGACUGCAGGGUGGUGCCUGUGGUGGAAAACUAUUUUCUAGUGGUUGGGGAUGAGCUCGCGGCCUAUCAGCUUGUUGGUGGGGUAAUGGCCUACCAAGGCGGCGACGGGUAGCCGGCCUGGGAGGGUGGACGGCGACAUUGGGACUGAGAUACGGCCCAGACUCCUGCGGGAGGCAGCAGUGGGGAAUAUUGCACAAUGGGCGGAAGCCUGAUGCAGCGACGCCGCGUGGGGGAUGACGGCCUUCGGGUUGUAAACUCCUUUCGACCGCGAGGAAGCCACCUGGUUGGAAGGGUGGUGACGGUAGUGGUAGAAGAAGCACCGGCUAACUACGUG
rnacentral:rRNA from 1 species